rnacentral:rRNA from 1 species
GCCUAACCAUAACACAACAAUCAAAUUACUAAUUGUUCGCCAAAUAACUACGAGUAAAAACUUAAAAUUUAAAAGACUUGACGGUGCCUUAAAACAACCUAGAGGAGCCUGUCUAAUAACCGAUACCCCACGAUUAACCCAACCCACCCUAGCCAACAGUCUAUAUACCGCCGUCGCCAGCCUACCUUAUGAAAGAAACAAAGUAAGCUUAAUAGUUAUACACUAACACGACAGGUCGAGGUGUAACUAAUGGGGGGGUCCAAGAUGGGCUACAUUUUCUAAACCAGAAAAUACGAAUUAACCUAUGAAAAAGAAACUGAAGGCGGAUUUAGCAGUAUGCUAGGAACAACAAACCUAGCAGAAAUUAACGCAAUGAGGUGCGUACACACCGCCCGUCAUCCCUGCCAACUAACAACUAAAACAUACAUAAGCCAAAACUAACUACUAAGCAGGGCAAGUCGUAACAUGGUAAGCGUACUGGAAAGUGCGCUUAGAAA